CCUACGGGUGGCUGCAGUGAGGAAUAUUGGUCAAUGGUCGGGAGCCUGAACCAGCCAAGCCGCGUGAGGGAUGAAGGUACAGAGUAUCGUAAACCUCUUUUGUCAGGGAACAAAGGCGGGGACGUGUCCCCGUCUGAGUGUACCUGAAGAAAAAGCAUCGGCUAACUCCGUGCCAGCAGCCGCGGUAAUACGGAGGAUGCGAGCGUUAUCCGGAUUUAUUGGGUUUAAAGGGUGCGCAGGCGGUCUGUUAAGUCAGCGGUCAAAGUCCGGGGCUCAACCCCGGCCCGCCGUUGAAACUGGCAGUCUCGAGUGGGAGAGAAGUAUGCGGAAUGCGCGGUGUAGCGGUGAAAUGCAUAGAUAUCGCGCAGAACUCCGAUUGCGAAGGCAGCAUGCCGGCUCCAAACUGACGCUGAGGCACGAAAGCGUGGGUAUCGAACAGGAUUAGAUACCCGUGUAGUC
rnacentral:rRNA from 1 species